UAUAAACUACUAAAAAAUAAAGGGAAAGUUUAAAAGAAGAUUGGACAAGACCCCACAACUGGCACCAGGGAGUGCAUAGGAAGCUACAAACUCUCUGAGCUGCAAACACUCGCAGACCCUUAUUCUUCUCUCCCUUACUCUUGUGUAAAUAAGGAGUCAUUUCAUGGGAAUCAGUGGAUUCACACUUAUCGGUGGGUGAGGAGUGAAAAAGUGGGAAUGGAGAAUGGGAUGUGUGGAUCUAUACAACUUCCUCAAAGAACCACAGUUACUGAGACAUUUCUGGAAUGUGUAGAUGCUGGCUUGAACCUCAUGGAACGGGUUCUAAGACCUCCAGGGGAUGGGACUGCAGCAAGGUCUGAACCACUUUCAUUGUUUCUGAGCAGAGAUUGUCUUCCUCCUCGGAUUUAUCUCAAUAAAUGGG